rnacentral:lncRNA from 1 species
CCACGUACAGCAUCUUAACAUUCACACCCAUCAUCUUAUUUGUUCAUCACUUUGUGCUUAACUGUUCUUAUGAGCUAUUUUCUGAGAAGAUUUCUUUAUAAUGGAAGCCAAGGAAUUUUUUCGCAAAUACUUGUGGUUAUUGAUAAUAUUAGGGAUGAUUUUUGUGACUGUGGUGAUCAGCAUCAUCUUCAUUCUAAUCAACAAAUGUUUAUCUAAAAAAGGCAAACACAGAAUUGCACAACUUCAGAAAAGAACCGUCUCCCCUGUCGAAAGCAACAAAUACCAGGAGACAAAUCUCUGGAACACUUUGACCCCCGGGACCCCUCCCCUGCCUCCUCGGACACAGUUUCUAACAGCAGCGGCGCAAAGCUAUGAGAACCUGGCUGAGACGCCCGGGUUUCAGCCGACGUCGGACUCAGAGGAGGACAAGCACGACUACGAGGAGGCCGAGCCCCAGUACGAACAGGACCUCAGCAACUACGAGCAGCCGGUCCCUGACGAUGAACAGGACAAGCACGACUACGAGGAGGCCGAGGCCGAGUACGAACAAAACCGGGACAGCUAUGUGCAGCCCACGCUGGACUCAGAGGACAGGCGCGACUACGAGGAGGCCGAGGCCGAGUACGAGCAAGACCUCAGCAACUACGAGCAGCCGGUCCCUGACCAUGAACAGGACAAGCACGACUACGAGGAGGCCGAGGCCGACUAUGAGGAGGUCACAGAGGAGCAGCCUGACUACGUGAAGAUGGAGCCUAAUGAAGAGGUCUUUCCUCCUCCUCCUCCUCCUCCUCAGAACAUGGACCCAGCAGAGGACGACGACUAUGAGGACUAUGACGACGUCGGAGGAGAAGAUGAAGACCAGGAGGAAGACUAUGAUGAUGUGGGUUAAAAGAAAAAACAAUCUGAGGGACAUUUCUGACUGUCUGAUGAGGAUCCUACUGCACAGACCAACCACCAUUUAUGUUCUUUGAGCAGAUUUACAGAGACAAAUAUCUGUAUUCUAUGGGCACCAUGGACAAGUACAAAGAAGAGGAGGGAGGAGGUGGAGCUGGUUUCAGGUUCUCAGAUGUUUGACUCUGCUCAGAUACAGAGAACUUUAGUUGUUUUGUGCUGUUUUAAAGGAACAGUGUGUAAGGAAGUUGCUUUUUAGACAUAGUCUCACUUCCCGUGUCCUGAAAAGUCUCGUCCUCGUCAAGAUUCCGUAAAAGAUUUGGUCAUUUUUUGUAAUGAGCAGAGUCUGUAGAAGAAAAUGCAAGUGGUUAUUUUUUCCCAAAGGCCUUUUGGAUUAAUCUUGGCUACGGAUUGUUUUGAAAAUGUCUCUCCAUGAUGGAGCUGCAACCACAGUGGCCCCAGCGGCUGGAGCUGCUCCCAGCUGACACUGGGCACAGUGGGCAGCGCUCAGGCUGCGUCCUGGCCUUUACAUGAACGAUUUGAUCACUGUGUACACAUUAAAUGAAGAAGUCUGUAUAUAUUUUGUUUUGAAUCAGCCGACCUUGUUUGCAGCAGUGUCUCGAUCCUCACGUCUCCAUCCUUGAAGCAUUCGACCAUACAUUAUUUUUUUCUCCUCAUUCAACAUUCAUUCAACCGUCCGCAGUCCCGUAAUUAUUAUUUUCUGAAUCAACUUCAGGGCAGUAACACUACUUUUUUUUAAAUUUUUUCAUUGAAUUCCAGUGAACGAACCUUCGUCUUUUUCUCUCCGCUCUCAGCAUUGUUCUCCAGCCUUUCGUGUGUAGAACUUCUCAUAAGAUUAGCUUCAAUGUCUUACUUUCCUCUCAGGGUUUUUUAAAGUAAACAUUGUGAAUGUACUCGUCGGACCUGUUUGUUUAUUAGAACGAUUUUCAUCGUGAAGAAGAGAAUCUUAUAUUGAAUUAUUAAGGGAACAAACUGCAACUUUGCAUGAAGGACAUUUAAAUGUCUAGUGGUGGUUAAUCCUUGUGUUGUUUAUUGGAUAUAUGAUGAUCCUUACAACAACCACAAAUCACCUCAACAAUAAAAGUAUAUUCACAGAUUAAUAAAAGCCA